rnacentral:rRNA from 1 species
AUGGCGCGCGCCCUCCUCCGCCACCGCGGCGCGCUCCCCUCUCUCCUCUCGCCGGCCGCCCCCACGGCGCCCAGGCUGGUCCCGUCAUUCUCCUCCGCCGCCGCCUCCUCCCUCGCGUCGCUGCGCUCCCCGCUCGACGAACGCCUGCUCCGCCUCCUGAGCUCCGAGAUCUCCUACGUCGCCGACCGCCGCCCUCCCCACCAGCCGCCGACGGGCUUCAAAUCCUUCGCCGUGGAGGACCGCCCGGGGGAGCAGUGGGUGCGCCUCCGCGCCGCCCGCCGAGGCGCCGGGGCCGGGGAGGAGGCCAUCAAGAUCGACGCCACCUUGUUCGACGGCGUCGCGGAGCUGCCCCCCGACGCGUCCCUCUUCAACCGGGUCGAGGCGCUCGAGCAAGGGCCGCGCCUCCACCUCAGCCUCAUCGUCGAGGUGGCCCGCGCCGACCGCGUACUGGGAUUCAUCUGCUCCGCCUGGCCCGACCAACUCGCCGUCCGCCACGUGCUCACCCUCAGGGGCACCGGCGCCGCCACCGACGACCGCGGUGCCCGCGACUUCACGUACGGUCUAGUUUUGUUCAGUCCAUUUUGGCUGUGUACUCUGGUUUCUGUGCUUUCUGAAUUUUUUUCGCUGUCACUGAUCUCGAGCCGCAGGAAGCUGGAGCCUGCGGAGAGGGAGGCGGUGAAGAAGUUCCUGCAGGAGAGGGAGGUGGAUGCCGAGCUUGCGGAGUUCUUGCACGACUACGUUGCGAACAAGGAGAAGAUGGAGAUGCUCCAGUGGCUGAAGACAGUCGAAUCGUUCGUCGAGAAGUAA